rnacentral:lncRNA from 1 species
UUUUUUAUUAUAGCUUUCUGCCUUGUGUGAAGUGAUAUUUCAUUGUGGUUUUGAUUUGCAUUUUCCUGGUAAGUAAUCACGUUGAUCAUCUUUUCAUGUACUUAUUGGUCAUUUGCACAUUAAUGAAACUAUAUAUACCAUUCCUAUGGUCAUUUUAUUAGUCAACAGACAUUUAUUGAACAACUACUAUGUGCCAGACACUUAGAAGUAUUACAGAAGGUAAGUGAACACAUCAAACCAAAAUACCAGCCCUCAUGGAACUUAUAUUCCACUUGGGGAACAUAAAGUUAAAUAUUCGAAUGUUAAGUGAUAAGAAAUGCAACAAUAAAAAGAAAGUAAGGAAGAAAACUAGAAAUGCUAGGAGUGAAAUUUGCAUAUUUAAACAAAGUACUUAGUAAGGCCUUAUAGAAGAAGAUGAUGUUCAGAUGAAGACAGGCAAUAAGAGAGGGAGACAAGGAGAAAAAAAGGCUGAAGAAAUAAUCAGCUCAAAAGCUGCAAAGCAAGAGGAUCCACUGUCCCAUUCAAAGAGGAUCAGUAUGGCUGAAAUGGAGAGAAGAGCAGAAAAGAUCAGAUUGUGUAGGUUCUUGUGGGCCAUGAUGAGGCUUUAAUCCAAGAUCCUAAAGUUCUAGAGGGUUUAUAUAAAGAAGUGAAAUGAUCUGACCUCUAUCUUAACAGGAUGUUUAGAGAUUCAUGUGUGUGAGGGGGUAUUGCCACAAUGACUGGGGACCAGAAAUACUAAAUA